GUGAUGGGAAUGAUCUUAGAGAGGGAAAAAUGAAAAUGGAGAUGAAGGAGAAAGAGGGGGAAAUGAUGGAAGAGCAUCCUUGAGGAGAUGAGAAGAGUUGGGUCUAGAGCACCAUGGAGGCUUGGUCUUAGAAAGAGGGAUGUGGGCAUUGGUGGAGUCUUGUCUGAUUACUUCUGCUUCCUCAGUGAAAUAAGAAACAAGGUCAUUGGUAGCUUGGGUGAAGAUGGGGAGGAGAGACUGGAGAAUUGGGGACAUAGGAGAAGUUACGCAUCUGCUGCCAAGGGGCUGCUCUCCUCAUGUGACAAGAAGCUUCCCGGAGGGACAAGAUGGCUGCCACCACUGGCUCCAGCCUUAUGCCAGCAUUCCAGGUGGGAGGAAGGUGGAAGGAAGGUGGGGCCCCACCAGUUGUCUCACUUGAAAGAAAAGAAAAGCUUUCUCAGAAACCCACCAGCUGCUUUCUGCUUAGAUCUCACUGGUCAGAACUGAGUCACAUGGCUACCCCUAGCUGCAAGGGAGGCUGGCAAAUCAGGAACAGGAUUCUCAAGAUUGGCUGAGAGGAGGGCACACCGCCUCAUCAAAUGCAGCCAGGGUUCAGCUAAGAGAAGGAAGAGGGAUUGUCUGCCACGCCCUCCCAUACAUGUGCCAAGGUCUGCUAUGCUCUGCCUGCCAGUGGUUUUGUGUAUCUGUAAAGAAAGGGAAGUAUCAGCCACUGUGCAUGUGUGAUCAUUACAAGUCUUCUACAUCGUUGGCCAUUAAUUUCAUGGACCACCACCCCCAACUCCAAUAGUGGUAUUUGAUAAAAGGUAAAAUAAUUUUGCCAAUAGCUUAACCUGUUUGCUCUGACUUAGUCACCGUGUGGCUGGCUUUAUAAUGGUCCUGGUAACAGAAUGGUUUGUACAUGGCUUUUCUAUGAAGCCAGCCGCCUUGAUUAAUGCCUCUGUGUUUUUGGUCUCUUCUCUGCUGUUAGUGAUGGAAGUCAUCAAUUUUGUGCUGGAAAGCUUUAUUUUGUGCUUGUUCUAGAAACACUUCAAUGUUUUCCCAGAGUGAUGCCUUGAUUGUUUUCUGGGGAAACAGAUGUGAAAACUUCAAAGGCUCCUACCCACCACCGGACAACCUGACAUGAGAGACCCCGCACUGGUCACAGGUAUGACACAGAUCCACUGGCAGGUACGUAGGGUUGUACUUUCUAUUUUUACUGUUUGUCUUUGCUGGUGCAAAAUCAUACCUCUCCAAACCAGCGCAUUCCACAGGCAUAUCAAAAUCCUCGUCACUAUUGAUGGUUAUGCCUUAUUCUGAAUCAUAGAAUUUUUGUUAAUAUUUUCAUCGCUACUUUCAUGUUUCAACAAACCAUUUUGCAUCAUCAAUCCAUUUUAUUUGGGGCUGUAAUACAACACAAACAUGUCUGAGGGCUUACUGUGUGCCAGGCAGUAUUCUAAGUGCUUUAUAUAUAUUGUGUCAAUUUUAAAGCAUGCUCCCAAUUUUUUGGACAAUCCUCCUGUGAAGAGCUGGAAUCUCCAUCCCUUCCCUUUUAAUCUGGGCUGGACUUAUUGAUUCGCUUAUCACCAAUAGAAGGCAGUGAAAGCGAUGCUUUCUGAAAGCGAUGCUUUCUGAUUUCCAAGUUCAGGUGCAAAAACGCCAUGUAGUGUCUACCAGGUUCUCCUGCGACUCUUGUUCUGGAGGAAGCCAGCCACCAACUCCCCUGAUUCUGCCAUGCUGGAUGUAGGCACCAGCUCCAGCAGAGCUGCCAAACUACAGCAGGCACCGGAUGCCAGCCGUGUGAGUGAGCGAUCUUGUCCAGUGCAGCCCAGAUGACGGAUGCAUCAGGUGAUGGCAUCCGCAGCCGGCAUCUGACGGUGCCUGCGUGAGAACCCCCACCGAGAACUGCCCAGCUGAGCCCUUCCAGAAUUCCUGACCCACAAAACUGUAGAAUGUGGCCAGGUUGCAGAAGACUCCAGAUGCUGGUGUAAGGAGUUGGCGUUUUACCCUGUGGAGUCAGAGCCUGAACAUUUCUGAGCAGAGGAAGAACACAAGGAAAGCAGGCAGUCAGUGCCUCUCCAGUCCCUGCAGCAUCCAGAGCCUUGGAACCGGUUACAGGUCAGCGGUGACAAGCCCGGCUGCAGGGCCAGUGACUUCCAGCUCCCAGAGCCCUCCAGCUGCCCCACCUCCGGACCCAGGCAGUGGAAGCCAGUCUACCCCCACCCCUAGCAUCACUCCGGGCAGAGCCCGGCUCACUGAGCCAGCUGAGACUCAAGCCACCCCCACGCCCCCGACGCUGUGGCCACAGGGCCCAGGCCUGAGACUCCAGCAGGAUCCCCGCCCGACAGAAUUCUGGAGCCCCACGUAAGGGUGCUUAGACCCAAAUGGCAGACACCGCCACAGUGCAGGGCUCAGUGGCCUCCGGCUAGUGGGCAGUGGAAGUCAGAUAGACGCACAGAGCCCUGAGCAUCCCCCAUCCCCUCCAGCUCUCCCUGGCAGGUGUCUCAGAGGAGACCCCUGGCUCAGAAAGCUGGGGGCAGGUGGUCUGUCAUAGGGCUGUAGUGCCUGCAGGCCCCACCUGUGUUGGAGCCGGCUCUCCUUGGUUUGACCCUUGCACCAUUGGGUGGGGCCACUUUUGUGCCUGGCGAGGGGCUGGGCACCCAGGGUACCGACCAGGUCAGACACGGUGGGGUCUGGGAGUUGCUCGCAUUCUAGUGGAGCCACCAGGUGUAUCAACAGGGGCACUCACAGUCCUUCCCUGUCCCAGGGUACGCUCCGGGCCUGCUCUACCAAGACUGGCAGGGAGGCAGGCUGGCCAAGCUCAGCCCCCAGAAAUCUCAGUUCCAAGCCGGGCAAGCAUGACGCUGUCGGCACCCCUAAUGAGGUUCCCUGGGGCCCCUCCCAUAACUGGAUCUCUGGACCAAAGGGUAUCCACCUGGACAUUUCAAAAUAUCCCCCAGGGUGUGGUCUUGCCCUCUGGCCCUCACAGACACCCUUUCAUGGGCGUCACACAUGCAGCCACCCUGUACUCUUGUCUGGCCUCAUCAGGAAUUUUAUAUUCAUUCUUCAAGCUCCGUUGGCCUUGAACUGCCCUUGAUUCAUGGAGGAUGAUAGACUCUCAGAAUCAGAGAAUCCUAUGGAUCCUCCAGCUCCUGUAUCCGCACCCCUAGUUCUGUUUCUACCUUUGCUAGUGUGGCUGCAGAGCACGGAACUUCCUCAGUUUUUCCAAAUAUAAUUGAUCGACCUCAAGCCCACUGGCCCCCAAGACGGCUCCUGAUGAUACCUUUCUCCUGGAAUUCACACCUGUGUCAUCCCCUCCCACAGUGAACAGGGCAGAUCUGUGUAACCAAUAGGAAAUUGCCUAAACGAUAGUGUGUACCUUCUGAGGAGAGGUCAUCUGAGAAUUGUGGCCUCCUCCCUGUUCUCACUCCGGGAGAAGCAGCCGCCAUGCUGUGAGGACGCUCAAGCAGUCCCGGUGAGAGGUCCAUGCGACAAGGAACUGAGGCCUCUCGCUGACAGCCGGCACCAACUUGCCAGCCAGUAAUGAACGAAGCAUCUGGGAAACAGGUCCUCCAGUGAAGCCUUCGGAUGAGUGCAACCCCAGCCAAACACCUGACUGCAAUCUUAUGAGAGCUCUCAAGCCAGAAUUGUCUGCUGCCAAAUUCCUGACCACAGGAGCUGUGAAAUAAUAACUACCCGUUGCUGUUUGAAGCCACUGAGCCUCGAGGCUGCAGAAAGGAAGAUCUCCCAGAAACAUGUCCUUGUGGCGAUACGGCGCGGGCAGUGGGGUCGUUUGGAUGCGAGCCACAUCUGGUCAACUUAGGACAAAGGGCGCUUUUGGGUGGGCUGUGAGCAGCAGCUCCCAGGCACUGCCGGAAGAUCCCCGGGUCUGGGAUUCAGGACAGGGGUCCAGGCUGCUGGAAAUGCCUCCCAUCUUCUGGCACUGAGGCUUUUGGGAUGGUUCUGCUUCAGCUGUUUUUCAUGUCCACGCGCCACUCCACUCACGACUCAGCCCAGCUGGGGGCUGGGGGAGGCACCUUGAUUCAAAUUCCACCAAGACUGUACAUGGCAGUGGGGAGAGAGGAAAUUGGGAGGCUGGUGGGAGGGAGGAGAGAUGCUGGGUUCCCACAAAAACCCCCUAAUGUUCACUUUGUGACUUUUUAAUGAGAAUAAUAUAUGUUAAGGGCCUUGCACGGUGCCUGGCUCUGAGUGAGCCCCAUACAAGCUAGCUACUAUGAGAGAGGUGACGGAGUGAGAAAUAAUUCGGGGGAGGACACAUGUGAGAAUGAACGAUGCGAUGUGAUGUGUGCUGUCAUUAAGGCCUGCACCGACUGCUCUGGGGGCCGGUGGAAGAAUAAGUAACUUGGCCAGCUCAGCUUAGGGGUGGUCAGGGAAGGCUUCACCGAGGAGGCAGCCUUUGAGCAGUACCUGAUGAUAGACUAGAAGUAGACAGGUAGGGAAGGAAUAUGAAAGGAGGAAAGUCUUCCAAGUUGAGGGAACAGCAUGCUCAAAAGCACAAAGGUGUGUAGGUUAUGGGGUGAGAGAUUCAUGGUAUGUUCUGGAAAGGACGGAUAUUGGUGUCUGGGACCCAGAACAUGUGUGGGGUGAUACAAGAUGAUGCUAGAAGAGUAAGGGCUUGACUGCAGAGGGCCUUAUUGGGGCAAGGUGAGGAGUUUGGGUUUUAUUCCCUAGCAGAGAGGACGUACCAUUCAUCUCUGCGUCUGCACCCAAGGCAGACAUCACCAAUCGAUCAUGAUGACACUGUCUUCAGGGGGAGCACCCGGGUAGCUGCUGCCAAUCACUUGGCAUCGUCAUGCAAAAUGAAACACUCUGCAUCCCUGCAUGGGCUCUGGGGAGCUACUGGAGGGUUUAAAUAGGUGGGUGAUGAGGGAGGAUGGCUGCAGGUGUUCAGGUGAAAGACGGCAAGUCCUAACCUAGAACAAUGACAAUGGGGAUGGAUUGUUGCUGCCCACAUUUUUCUCAACCUUACCUGUUCAGCUAGAGAUUCCAAGUAGUCUCUUCAUCUCCACCUCUCAGGCCUGGCCAGAGUGCUCAGGGUCCCGUGUGCGUGCGUGCGUGUGUGUGUAUUAGCUCUGUCUGGGCUACAUUGUGGGGAGAAAGGUGUUGUAUUUCUGGAAUUGUGCUAACCCAUGUGGUUGCCAUUAGCCACAUAUG